AUACGCUAUAGUAGGUUAGUGGGAUGGGGUGUACAAAAUGGAUGGAUUUAGAAAUUCUGUUUGCUACUUUUCAAAAUUUGAUCUAUCUUGAAUAUUGAGGUUUUUAAGGGUCUGUGCAUAUCUUCCUUCCAUAUUUUGUCUCAUGUGUGCAUUUUGUUUCGUUGUCCGUUUUUCGUAAUUUGCACAUAUAUUUUGGAAAAUAGUUUUCCUAACACAAGCAGUGUUUGGACAUUAUUUUAAUGAAGGUACACAUUUCCUUGAUUUCUCUACUUCUUUUUUAUUGGAGAACUCCACUGGAAAAUAUGGAGGGGAAGGAAAAACAACUGAAUUUCAGUUCACUUCUCAAUUUGAUCAGAUCUACCCAUCUAUCCAUAGUGCAUGUAUGUGCCUUCAAGACAGCCAUUGACGUAUGGCAUCUCCAUGAACUUCACAGGGUUUACUUAGGCCAGGAGUAUUCCGAGAUGUGUCUCCAGUUCCUUAUGGUUUAUAGCACCUAGUAUUCAUUGAUGAGUCUCUCAUCCAAGUACUAACCAGGGACCUAGGACCUUUAGUGUACUUAACCUUAGCACAUAGCAGCUUUCUGUACUCAUUCCUUUGAUAUUUACAUGUUGCACACACUUUUACCUAAUAUACUCAUAUGUAUUUGCACACAUAUACACUCCAAUGCUGACAUAGAAUCCAGCAUAUGACAAAGUGUGGUUUCUUUAAGCACAACUGUUCUGAACUGAAACAAAAUUCUUCUUUAUGUAUCACAUUCAAGGAUCAGGUUAGGUGUGCAUUAAAUUGUGAAAAGAG